GCAAGAGAGACGAUGAGGGUUCAGGCGUUGCUCGCGCGCUCCUCGCACACGCUGCUCCGCCGCCUCUCCAGCCCUCCUCUUCUCCGCCCCACGCGCUGCUUCGUCUCAUUUCGCCUUAUUGCGCCGCCUCCGCCGCCUCCGAAGCUUCACUCCUUACCCGGUGCUCCGGCCCUGCGGCCGUUCUGCGUGAGGUCCUCCCAAGUCUCCGAUGCUGGCUCUAUCGACUCACCCAUGAUGCAGUCCAUGGAGAAUAAGAUCAAAG
rnacentral:misc_RNA from 1 species